rnacentral:rRNA from 1 species
UACGUAGGGUGCAAGCGUUAAUCGGAAUUACUGGGCGUAAAGCGUGCGUAGUCGGUUAUUUAAGUCGGAUGUGAAAUCCCCGGGCUCAACCUGGGAAUUGCAUUCGAUACUGGAUAGCUAGAGUUCGGCAGAGGGAAGUGGAAUUUCGGGGUGUAGCGGUGAAAUGCGUAGAUAUCCGAAGGAACAUCAGUGGCGAAAGCGACUUCCUGGACCAGAACUGACGAUCAGGCACGAAAGCGUGGGGAGCAAACAGG